GUGUUUAGUCAUUUGUUUCCUCGUUGGCAUAUGGGAAUAUUUUUCGCCCCUGGUAUGAAACUGAAAUUUGAUUUUAAUCAAUUAGAAAUUAUGUCUGAAUUUAGCUUAAUUUAAUUGUUUAUCUCACUUGAGCUUUCUUUAUAAGUUUACGGACACACAAAGCUAUGAAAGCUCAGCACUUAAAUUCUAUUUCCUCUAUUUUCAUUUUUCUGUUUUCU
rnacentral:misc_RNA from 1 species